rnacentral:rRNA from 1 species
GAUGAACGCUGGCGGCGUGCCUAAUACAUGCAAGUCGAGCGAAGCGGGGACGGGUGAGUAACACGUGGAUAACCUCCUAUAAGACUGGGAUCACUUCGGGAAACCGGAGCUAUCCCCGAUACUUAUAGAUGGAUCCGCGCUGCAUUAGCUAGUUGGUACGGUAAAGGCCUACCAAGGCAACGAUGCAUAGCCGGCCUGAGAGGGUGAUCAGCCACACUGGGACGGAGACACGGUCCAGACUCCUACGGGAGGCAGCAGUAGGGAAGAUUCCGCAAUGGGCGAAAGCCUGACGGAGCAACGCCGCGUGAGUGAUGAAGGUCUUCGGAUCGUAAAACUCUGUUGUUAGAGAAGCGGUACCUAAACAGAAAGCCACGGCUAACUACGUGCCAGCAGCCGCGGUAAUUC